UCUUUCCUCGAUCUCUCCUCUCUCAUCUGCCUCUCUCUCCUCAAACAAACCCUAAUCAACAAAGGAAUCGGGAAGUAGACGAAGAUGAAGACCUAGGUUGAACGUCGUUCUUGGCCUAAAUUCGGUGAUGCUGUUCAUGAAGAAAUCGGAGCUCAUCAAACUAUGGUUUCUACUGAAGAAAUCGGCCUUGAACGACCUGCUGCUCCUGGUUUGCUUAGAUUUCGCUUCCUUUUGGUUUGGAUUUUUUUUUUAUUUAUUUUUUUUUUAUCUUCGUUGCGAUCGAUGAAUUGUUGGUUGAUUUUGUUGUUGUUGGUUGAUUAUGUCGAAUCUGGCUGUGUUAUUCAUGUGUUAUUGGAUUGAUUUUUAAUGGAUUUACCCGUGAAUUUGUUCUAUGUUUGAGUGAUUUUUGCCAAUUGAGGUUAAUUGGAAGAAAUUAAGGGUUUCCUGAUUUCUCGAGGCUAUUUCUGGAAUUUUGGGGGAAUUGGAGAUGGAUAGGGGUCGCGGUGGUGGUUUCGUGGGUGCGGUGGUGGGUGUGGUGGUUGCGGUGGUGGUUGCGGUGGUGGUUGCGGUGGUGGUUGCGGUGGUGGUUGCGGUGUUGUUAGGUUGUUUCGGUGUUGCUGGGUGGUAGGGGUGGGUGGUUUUAAGAAUGGGAGGAGGAUUCACAGUGUUGCAUUUGGUGCGACCGUUUCUUUCGUUUCUUCCUGAGGUGCGAACAGCAGAUAGGAAGGUACCCUUCUAAGGUGCAAUGUGGUGUAGUGUUUGUAGCACGAUUUGCACAGCAUAUAUGGUGCUAUGGCUCUUGCUGGGAGGUUCAUAUGCUCACUUUCCGGAAUAGACAGCUCUGGAGGUUUCCAACCAUCAUUUGAUGCCAUUAUUUAAGGACUUGGAUAUGCUACUCCUCCCAUUAUGGCUCUUCUAUUUAUAUUAGAUGACGUAUCACCCCAUGCUUGUGCGAUAAGGGAUGUGGAGGAUGAGGAACUACGAAGCUUCUUCUAUGGAAUGUCACCAUGGCAGUUUAUACUCAUUGUUGCAGCAAGCUCAGUAGGUGAGGAACUCUUCUAUAGAGCUGCUGUCCAGGUGUUAUUUUUGUUUAUAACAUCUCUCAAAAGAGGACAAAAUUAAGCCUACAGAAAUGGGCUGCUAAGGUCACUGCAAAUGGGACUUUCUUAGCACCUCUGGCAUCUGGUGGGCCUUAUGGGCUUCCUGUUCCCUAUAUUGUAAUCAGCAACGAAGCAGAUUUCACAGUAAAGGAGAGUGAAAGAGGCAGUAGUGGUAAUCUUGUUGAUGUGGCUAGGCAAUGGGCUGAGAAGCAAGGUCUACUUUCAUCUAGUGAAGACCUUCCAAUGACUGCAAGUUUUCCCGGAAAUUUAGCCCAUAUUGCUUUGAUCAGGUGGAGGUAUUUUGCUGAUGAAAUACCUGCACCAUCUCCUUGGGGUCUUACAUCGCAAAGAACUAGUCUGCAUUCAACUGAAAUCUCAAGUGAUGACGAUAUUUUGCACCCAUCUGCAAGGAGCAUUGGAUUAUGAGGAUGAGGCUGAAAAAAGAAGCUAGUUGAUAUUCUAAGCUCUUUCUUGCUCUUCACUGUAGAAGUACGCUGCUUAGCAACUCUCUGUAGCUUUUAGGCAUGAUUAAUUUUCAUGUCCUGAAUUGUUUAUGGCUUGUUCAUUAGGGUUCUCCAUGAUGCUUUAUUUUGUUAGUUCCCUCAUGCAUGAGACUAUGAGUUUUGUAAGUUUAGGUUGACGUAAACUAUAUGUUUUUUUUUUAA